CGCAUGCGCGCUGGCGCGUACUUUCACGCAUGCGCGGUUGAGCACACACUAAGCCGGCGCCGUGGCCGGCCAGGUUGCCCGUCUCUGCUAACAGCAUUCCUCCCUCCUCCUGAACUCCAGCACUUUGCACUUAUGUCUGUAACUGGCAAAAGAAAGCAGAGUAGUGCUGUGGGGUAAUAGGGCUCCAUAUUGUACUGCUUUGUGUCCUCUGCUUUCUUUCUUUCUUCAUGCCUCUGUUUCUCUAUUUUAGGGUAAAAGCUUCGUGAUCGAAGAGAAAUACUUGCAGCAUGCCUACCGUUUCCUCUCAACGCUACGAUCCUGCUUGCUGCUUUCCUAUGAUGGACUGUACAGUUAUUUCACCUCCAUAUCAGAAACGCUGCCUUCCUCACUCAAGCUGGAGCUUGAAAAACUUGAUAUGAAAGCCCGGCUCAGUGAGUUAUCUGACAAAGUGACGGAAAUAGAAGACGCCAAUGAUCUGCCAGAAGCAAUAAAUGGCAGCCUAAUAGAACUGUCAUCUCAACUUCUCAAUCUAUGGGGAAUAUUUCUUCAAUCCUCCUUGGAGAGUAAAGCAGAAAAGCAGCAAAUAAAGGAAGAAAAGUUCAAGAAGUUGUUCUUUUCUACUGACCAUCCCCGAGAAGAAGCUAUUUUAUAUGAUGAGAAGAUCGCUCAAAGGCAUAAAGAGAUUUAUGAAGAAGUAAAAAAAUCUCCAAAAGUCAGUUGUUCUCUCGAGUGCCUGGACACGGACAUUGUAUCGAAAUCUGCUCCAGUGAUCUUUGAAGACCGGUACUUAGAGCCUGACGCAAUUGAUUGUUCAGAAGAUGUUAAAUCUUCCCCUGUUGCCUGUACUAAAGAUCCGCGCAAGAAACUGAAGUCAUUGCGUACUAUCAUGGCAACAGAUGGAAAUCUUGAUUUAAGUGCCUCCUUUCAUGACAUGCCAUAUACUCUGAGGAAGGGAUUGUUUGAGGCUAAAAAAGAACUGAGAGAAUGGAUAAGUCGGUUCUUUUCCAACAACCGUUCCAAGAAGUUUACUCUGAGCAUGGAGCUAGUCAACGACUCAAAUGAAGGAAUAUCUGUGCAAAUCAGGAUGAGACCUUCUUAUUGUAAUUACCUUUUUACUAUAUCUUCUCCUGUGGGAAAUAUAAAUAUAACAUACAUUUUACCUUAACUUGAACAAUAACCAUGGACUUAUUUCUACCCUAGGUACAACAGAUGAGCAAGUAAUAACUACCUUUGUAUAUGGAUGUCACGGUGGAAGAACUGCUGUCAUCGGACAUCUAGGAAACAAGGAUGAAACUCUGGCUGAAUAUGAUUCUUUGGCAAAUCGUCUAUUGAGCCAAAUUGCACAACUCAUAGAAUCGAACAGUUUGACAAUAUCCGGGAUCAGAUUAUUAUCCAACGAAAAGAAACUCCUUUGGGAGCAACUUGUACCUAAGCGAAAAGUCCGAGAAAAUCAGAGCAGUUCUACUGGUAAGAUAAACAUUGAUUUUUCCAUUACAUUAUGAAGGAAAGAUGGGCAUUACUUUGAUUACAUUGACUUAUUCUAUUUUAUUUUUAUUGUAGGUUCCAAAGACAACGCCAGUAGUAAAGAUGACGGAACACAUCUAGUAGUCUGUGUACAUGGCAGAGCUGGUAAGUAAAAACUAUUUUAAGAUUGGAUUCUGACACCAACACUUGCGGGUGUUUUGUCCUAUGCUAUACCAUUGCCUUGCCCUGUUAAAAAACAGCUUUAUUUCUUCUCUAGGUUCCGAAUAUGAUCUUGUAUUAGUAAGACCUUACAUCGAGUGUGGCGUGACACAUGGAAAGACCGACUUCCUAAUGUCUAUGUACAACAAGGGCUCCACCUCUGAAGAUAUUGAUUAUUUGGCCAGCGGUCUCCUAAUUGAAAUAUUAGAGCACAUAGGAAGCAAA